rnacentral:rRNA from 1 species
AACAGGAUUAGAUACCCUGGUAGUCCACGCUGUAAACGAUGUCGACUUGGAGGUUGUGCCCUUGAGGCGUGGCUCCCGGAGCUAACGCGUUAAGUCGACCGCCUGGGGAGUACGGCCGCAAGGUUAAAACUCAAAUGAAUUGACGGGGGCCCGCACAAGCGGUGGAGCAUGUGGUUUAAUUCGAUGCAACGCGAAGAACCUUACCUACUCUUGACAUCCAGAGAAUUUGCUAGAGAUAGCUUAGUGCCUUCGGGAACUCUGAGACAGGUGCUGCAUGGCUGUCGUCAGCUCGUGUUGUGAAAUGUUGGGUUAAGUCCCGCAACGAGCGCAACCCUUAUCCUUUGUUGCCAGCACGUAAUGGUGGGAACUCAAAGGAGACUGCCGGUGAUAAACCGGAGGAAGGUGGGGAUGACGUCAAGUCAUCAUGGCCCUUACGAGUAGGGCUACACACGUGCUACAAUGGCAUAUACAAAGAGAAGCGAACUCGCGAGAGCAAGCGGACCUCAUAAAGUAUGUCGUAGUCCGGAUUGGAGUCUGCAACUCGACUCCAUGAAGUCGGAAUCGCUAGUAAUCGUAGAUCAGAAUGCUACGGUGAAUACGUUCCCGGGCCUUGUACACGCCGCCCGUCACACCAUGGGAGUGGGUUGCAAAAGAAGUAGGUAGCUUAACCUUCGGGAGGGCGCUUACCACUUUGUGAUUCAUGACUGGGGUGAAGUCGUAACAAGGUAACC